GGAAUAUAUAACUAGUCUACGACAUGGAAUGGACAGAUCGCGAUUUAACCACGUUAAACGUGUAACUCGAAAGUAACCAAGGAGGCGCCCGUAUUAUAAACGCACACAGUGCUCUCGCGCUAGAAAAUCAAAUAUUUUUCGCAAAACCACGAACAAAACUCGACAACCUAAACAUGGCCUUGACCUAAACAAAAUUCGACAUUCUUGUGCAGCAGUGAUUCAAGGAUAGAGUCGACGGCUUAUUUAGUACUGGUAACGGUGAUUUACCGUUAAUCUUCUCAUUCAUUUGAUUUUUUUUUUUGUACUUUUUUAUUGUGAUAGGAGUAUGAAUGAGUUUGCGGAUUGGCGUUUUUUAUCGCGAAUUUGUGAGCUUAAAAAGUGAUGUGGCCCAGCGCGGUUCACUGCGGCUACUGCCAAAAGGCGAUAUCAAAAUCGCAACUGUCUAGACACCGGAGAAGGCCAAGAUUACUUUACCGAGAAGGCUGCAUCCGUGGCUGCCUACGACCCGACCCGGCCCGGCCGGCCCCGCAAAAGCGAAGCGCAACCGGCUGAUGGUAUCCUUCGCCAGUGGAGCUGCUGCUUCUGGCUGCAGGCACAUUGGCCAUUGCCGGGUUCGGUCUAGGCACACCAGCCUGCCCCGACACCGACGAGUGACGGCGAUUUUCCCGUCGCCCCUGAGGGGCCAGCCAGACCCGUCGAUGCGGCGACCGCGGUACCAGCUGACGCUGUCGAGCAAGAUCGCGCGCAUUUCACUGGUACUGCAUCGCAGUGUCGCCACCAUGCACGGAGGACGCCAGAGGACGGCCCGUCAGUCUUUACGGCCCGUGCGCUGGGCCGGCACGGGCCACACGCUCGGUAAAGUAGCUGGCCUGCGCACGCAGCUCGACAUCAUCUGUGGUGUCAUCCCAGCCUUUCUUCACGGCCCGCGCGCUGGGCCGGCGCGGGUCACACGCUCUGUGAAGUAGCUGGCCUGCGCACGCAGCUCGACAUCAUCUGUGGUGUCAUCCCAGCCUUUCGUCAGAUCAUUCACUCGUUGCUUCAGCCAUGCCGCCGCCGGCCGCAGUCAUCCGGCCACGGGGGAGAUAAGUGAUAGGCUGACCACACCACAAGAACAGUGCUCUCCGUGCAAAUAUCACGACCGGAAGUGCGCGAGCUACUGACUGGGAGACGGCGCUCGCGCUGACGCUGUUUCCUCGACGUUUAUGCAGCUCCUGGCGAGGUGACCGGUCUUGCUGCAGGUCUAAUAACGCCGUGCCCGGACCGCCGUGGACCGUGGCGACCCGCUGGUCUGACCGACCGGCCGGUGUCUUGGCGUCUCACACCCGCUGCUGCCGAGAACACAUUCGUCACUCAGCACUGACCGCGCCAUGAUGCUGGCCAGAUCUGCAGGCCUUUUGCGCGCGUGUCGGCCCGAAUUGUGCUGCUAACGGCGUCUGGUAGCCUGGCGAUGAAAGCACUGGCGAUAAAAGCACCUACCCGAAUGCAAGCCGAGUGCAGCAAAAGAUGCUCCUCCAGUGUGGAAACCGAGCGUCGUGCGCGCUCCAAAUUUUAAUACAACCAAUCUUUGCAG
rnacentral:lncRNA from 1 species